rnacentral:rRNA from 1 species
UACGAAGGGGGCUAGCGUUGUUCGGAAUCACUGGGCGUAAAGCGCACGUAGGCGGAUCUUUAAGUCAGAGGUGAAAUCCCAAGGCUCAACCUUGGAACUGCCUUUGAUACUGGGGAUCUUGAGUCCGGGAGAGGUGAGUGGAACUGCGAGUGUAGAGGUGAAAUUCGUAGAUAUUCGCAAGAACACCAGUGGCGAAGGCGGCCAACUGGUCCGGUACUGACGCUGAGGUGCGAAAGCGUGGGGAGCAAACAGG